AACGAACGCUGGCGGCAUGCCUAACACAUGCAAGUCGAACGAGACCUUCGGGUCUAGUGGCGCACGGGUGCGUAACGCGUGGGAACCUGCCCUUAGGUUCGGAAUAACUCCCCGAAAGGGGUGCUAAUACCGGAUAAUGUCUUCGGACCAAAGAUUUAUCGCCUUUGGAUGGGCCCGCGUUGGAUUAGCUAGUUGGUAGGGUAAAAGCCCAAGGCGACGAUCCAUAGCUGGUCUGAGAGGAUGAUCAGCCACACUGGGACUGAGACACGGCCCAGACUCCUACGGGAGGCAGCAGUGGGGAAUAUUGGACAAUGGGCGAAAGCCUGAUCCAGCAAUGCCGCGUGAGUGAUGAAGGCCUUAGGGUUGUAAAGCUCUUUUACCCGGGAUGAUAAUGACAGUACCGGGAGAAUAAGCUCCGGCUAACUCCGUG
rnacentral:rRNA from 1 species